GACGAACGCUGGCGGCGUGCUUAACACAUGCAAGUGGAGCGACGAACCGGGCUUCGGCCCGGGGCAAAGCCGCGAACGGGUGAGUAUCACGUGGGUAACCUGCCCCGAUGACCGGGACAACCCGAGGAAACUCGGGCUAAUACCGGAUGUGCUCCUCGCACACCCGUGCGAGGAGGAAAGGAAGCUUCGGCCUCCGCAUCGGGAUGGGCCCGCGGCCCAUUAGCUUGUUGGUGAGGUAAAGGCUCACCAAGGCCACGAUGGGUAGCCGGUCUGAGAGGACGAUCAGCCACACUGGGACUGAGACACGGCCCAGAAUCCGACGGGAGGCAGCAGUGGGGAAUCUUGCGCAAUGCGCGAAAGCGUGACGCAGCAACGCCGCGUGAGGGAAGAAGGCCUUCGGGUUGUAAACCUCUUUCAGGAGGGACGAAGGUUCAGGCGCGAAUAGCGUCCUGGACUGACGGUACCUCCAGAAGAAGCACCGGCUAACUCUGUGCCAGCCGCCGCGGUAAGAC
rnacentral:rRNA from 1 species